ACAUUUGAUCUUCACUAGUGUUGCAUUUAGUUACACAAAUUGGGCUUGGACGUUUGGAAAUGUAAAGGUGAGCCAGACUUUCACAGAAAAUACACAAAGGGCCGUGCACAGGGGGGUGGCACGGUGGCUACUGCCUUUCUGCCUUCAUCGGCUGAGGUACCCUUCUCAUCAACCGCCAAGUGUUCUGUUACUACUCUGCUAAAGAUCCCGAUAAUCCACUUCGUGUGUCCGGUCUUUGGAGAGUGGAGACGACAGUUCCCCAAGUUUGUUGCGUUCACAGUCCCAGCGAAUCAGCAUGACACAAGCGCCUUCCCGUGAGGCAGAGGUCGGAAGACAGAAAGAGCGGAGGAAGAGAGAGAGAGAGAGAGAGACGGGCCUCGAUAAGAGCCGCUAUCAGAACGCACCCAAACACAGCGUCCGGCUGUUCUCUCUUGUGCACACAGAGGAAAACAGAUACCCUUAGCAGAAACAAUGCAGUGAUACAAAGCCAGCAUCUCCGCUGCAUCCUCAGCAAAAAUCACCCGAGUACCAGACAGCCGGUUUUCCCUCUUCUGAAGAGGCAGCAGCCUGAGGAAGAGGAAAACGUGGCUUUGGACAUCUGGCUUAGGCCGUAUCACUUGUUAUUUCCUCUCUCUGUUGUUCUGAAGCAGAAGUCAGUCGGCAGCAGACUGGAGAUGGAGGCCAGGUUAAAGGUCACAACUGAGCCCUGUUGAUUGGUAGGGUCGACGUGGGGUCAGCGAAGGACAGGAAAGCAACAGGAAGGUUUUUUGUGCCUUUCCUAAAGGUCCUAUCUGUUAUCCCAGUCUUGUGUCGGACAUAAGAUACCAGCCAAUCGUGCGUUUCUCACACAAAAAAAAGAGCAUGAACACUGCUAUCAGGUGUACAGACAGAUUUGCAUGGCUUUUGUAAGUGGCUUACACUUUAUGACACACAGAUAGCUGCAAUAGCUCAGUGGUAAAGCAUUGCAUAGCUGUGCAAAGGUUCAUAGGUUUGAACCCAGGGAACACAUACUGAUAUACGAUAAAGUUUAUUAGGAAAAAAGCAUCUGCCAAAUGCAUAAAUAUAACAUGUAGACAGGCUGAUUUGCAUAGUUAUAGUUGAUCUGCAAAAAAUUAUAUCCUCAAUUUGGAAACCAGUCCAAUUAUGAGGAAAUGUGAAUGCACAUUUUCUUUUUGCAAGAGAACUUGCACAUGCAUGUGCUUUACACCCCCUCACUUUACCUGAUAAAACUGGCUAAACAAGUUUAACACUCGGAGAGCUGCAUAAGCAUUUUUUUUUUCACAAUGAGGGUGACACUUUGAGUAUCCCGAAACUGACAUGAACCUACAUGCCUGAAUACCUAUUGAAGAAUUUGCCGUUUGAAUCAUUUUCUGACACCCUUUGCUCUAAAUCUUUGCAUUGUCAUAGUCGAGCAUAUUUGUUAGUCGUAAAUGAACUAUGAGCCUGAUAUUAAAUGCUUCGGGACCAGCUGUAAGAGAUUAUAAAUCCGAGCCAAACCUAAAUUUAUUCAGUUCUACUACACAAACAGAUUUUGCCUCGGGACCUUUUCUCUAUAACUGACACGGGUAACAAGCACCAAACGCUGUCUCUCCCGUGUGCCGUUCUAAAGCAGGUUGCCAAAUAACUUUGCUACCGGUAAUUUCAUGAAAAUGCAAAUCCCCCAUUUUUUAAUAAUCCUUUCCUGCAGACCUGAGAGUGAGAGAGACAAUGCCGCCGAAUGGGACCCUGGGGGAAUAUCACACGCUUAGAGGCUUGGCUGUUCCAAUACAGAACAAUUACAUUAUCCCUCUAAUAAGUUAGGUAAGUUAAUCCUUCACUGAAAAGUGAAAACGUUUGGCAACAACCUUUUUUUUUAAGUUAUGAGGCUUAAUGUAGUGUCUUAUCACAGAGCAGCAGAAGUUUGUGAAGCUAGGGGCCUAUCUGUGACUGUGCAAUGCUUUUGCGACCAAUUCCUUAAUUAAAAAGAGAGCAAAUGGCACAUACCUGAAGAGCACAACGUUUUUUUAAAGGUCAGUGAUAACAAGCACAUCUGUUCAUACAGUUGAUUUACAGGCAAAUCUGUGCACAUUUGUAUUAAAGACCUUGACAUAUUAGAUUAUGCAUACAGCCACUUACAAUCCAUUCAAACUAUACAUUUUAUCAGUAUGUGGGAAUCGAACCCAUGACCAUUGUUAAUGGAAUGCUCUAAUACAAAACAUGUUAAUCUCAACAUACACUUGGUUGGUGAGUGUAUAAUAGACUCACUUUACUCUUUUUGACUUAUUUAUAAAACUGUGCAACCCGGACCCCACAAUUUAACUCUAUCCUUUGUAAACUUAAUGAAGCCGCAAUACUCUGCAAGUUUACAAAAAGUACUGGUAGUUUGAAGUAGGAAGCAAACUUUCUCUCUCGUUAUU